UGUGAUUUGUGUUGUGUGUGUUUUUGAGUUGUGUGUGUAUGUGUUUUGUGGUGUGUGUGUUUUGGGUUGUGUGUUUUUGUGGUGUGUUUUAUACUGUAUUGCAGUUUUAUACAAUAGUUUAAUUCAGUUACCAGAUUUGCAAUUUUAGCCUUUUCUAAGUUUAUUUUAGGUUUUAGGUAGUUAGAUUUUUUGUUGUAACCUGUGUUGGUAGUUUGAAUUGUCUUUUAGUCAUAUUUUGUCAUUAGAAACUUUUUACGAUAGUUAGAUUGCAGUUUUGUAGACCUUGCCAAGCCGAGGUAUCUGUUUAUGUCCUCUUACGAACAGGUUAUUCUUUAUAUCUAUGCAUAAUUCGCUCCUUUUUAACAUUGUCUGAUAAAUUGUGUGUGUUUUUAGUUCCUUGAUGAUGCAGAUUGAAUAUCUAGAGACUGUAGACCUUGCCAAGUUGAGACACCGAUUUAUGUCCUCCUAUUAACAGAAGGUGCAACCCUUUGAUAAAAGAUAUCAGUACCUUCUGUUGCAGCUGAACCGUAUGAAAUAAUUGCAUUCAAGGUAUUUUCUUACUUUUGUUUGUGUGUUUUAACGUUAAAUUAAACUACGUAAACCUAUACAUAUUGCCCGUAGAUAUCCAAACACAGGCCGAUUCAAGAGAAUCCAAGUCAUUUCACUUUAAUUGUUUGCCCUUGUAACUAACAGCAGCAGAACUAGGUUGGUAAUUUCCUGUCUUCUUUUUUGCUUUCGUUUAUUUUGUUACUUAGUGAGAUUCUUAGUUAUUUGUUGUUUUUAGAUAUUGACUCUUGUCUUAGCUUUGUUUUAUAGUCUUACACUUGUUUAGAUAUGUUUCCAAGUGCUGUACAGAUUUUGCAUGGUUACUUGUCUACUUCUUAGUUCUUGAUUGUGAAUGACUUUUUGAGUUUCUAAUUUGAGUUGAUAGUUUCUAGUCAGUUUUACAACUUCUUUCAAUAGAAUUGAAUAGUUUUUACAUGAAAAGUCAGUUUUGAACCAGUUUUGACAAGAUUUUACCUACUGUGAGAUUUGAGCUUUACUUUCUUUCAUUGUAUGAUGCAUUCAUGUUUAUUUACAUUUUCAGAACUUGUAUUGUUUCUCUUCGAACUCUGACAGUUAGAUUUGCACUCUAGAGAUGAUAUUAGGCCAUGUUUGUUUCUAGUCAGCUAGCCAAAUAAAGCUCACCCUGAACUUAUCUCCUUUCCACCUGAAUUUUGUGCCCGAUUUACCUUUUUUUGUUCAUUUUAAGCUCAAUACAAGUCUUAGACCAGAAACACCAUGAAAAUGCCCAAAUCUUAGAGUUGUGAGAUGGUUUAGGAAGUGUUUAAGGAAUAUGUAAAGUUCAAGUGUAGGGAUCUGAAAAAUCUGAAGGUGUGGUCUGUUCUGACUUGGAAGAGAAAGGAGAGUGAAAAAAGAAAAGAAAGAAAAGUAGAAAAGAAAGAAAAAAAAAAGUGAAAAAGAAUAAGAAAUAUAGAAGGAAGUGAGUAAUAAAAUAUAUGAAAGAAGUUGGAAAAGAAAGGAGAAUUAAAAAAAAAAAGAGAAUGAAAAGUGGAAAAUAUGUGAAAGAAAGGAAGGAAGGGAUGAAUAAAGGUUGUGAAAGAGUUGAUGAUUCCAUGCACUUGAAUUCCACAUUUUCCACCUAGGUCUAUCUCACUUCUCUUUGAUUUUAGCUUUGAUCUUUUUCCUCUUUUUACCUCACCUAUACCUUGGCCACAUUACAAGCCUUGAUUCAAGUCCUAUUGAUCUUGAGUGCGUUUCUAAUUUGAUUGGUGUGAUUAGAAGCUUUCCAAGUUUAUGAUAAUGUGAAUUUGCAUAAUGUGCCUCUCCUACUGUGUGUAUUCAGGUUGGUUCAGGUAAAUCAUCCCUGUUAUAUUCAAUCCUUGGAGAAAUGCAGCUUGUUCGUGGCUCUGUUUAUUCCAAUGAAUCCACUGUUUAUGUACCACAGGUCCCUUGGAUUUUAUCUGGAACGGUGCGCAACAACAUAUUAUUCGGGAAAAGUUAUGAUCCUGAAAGGUAUACUGAUACACCGAAGGCAUGUGCAUUAGAUGUUGAUAUCUCAUUGAUGAUUGGAGGUGACAUGGCUUAUAUUGGAGAGAAAGGAGUCAACUUAUCGGGUGGACAGAUAUCAAUCGUAAAAGAUUCUUAUUUUGUCGUAUUGUGAAUUUCAUUCAUAGCCUGCCUCUACAAAUUGGAGUGGCUCUCUAUCUUUUGUAUACUCAAGUCAAAUUUGCAUUUGUAUCUGGAUUAGCAAUAACCAUUUUAUUGAUACCAGUAAAUAAAUGGAUAGCACAAUUGAUUGCAAGGGCUACUGAGCAGAUGAUGAAGGAGAAAGAUGAAAGGAUUCGUAAGACAGGAGAACUUUUGACUUCUAUUCGUACUUUGAAGAUGUAUGGAUGGGAACUUCUUUUUUCUAGUUGGUUGAUGGAUACAAGAUCUUUGGAAGUCAAACACUUAGCUACUCGAAAGUACUUGGAUGCGUGGUGUGUUUUCUUUUGGGCUACAACACCAACACUCUUCUCCCUUUUCACAUUUGGACUCUAUGCACUGAUGGGACAUCAACUUGAUGCUGCAAAGCUAUGCGGGUUGUGCGGGCUGUGCGUGCUCUGGAGGGAGCAGAGGAGAUAGUUGAUGUUGAGUUGAGGAAAGAGGGAAAAGUUGAAAGUACUUGGAUGCGUGGUGUGUUUCAUCCACUUUUAUAGACUAGAAAGUACUUGGAUGCGAGGUGUGUUUUCUUUUGGCUACAACACCAACACUCUUCUCCCUUUUCACAUUUGGACUCUACGCACUGAUGGGACAUCAACUUGAUGCUGCAAUGGUUUUCACUUGUCUUGCAUUGUUCAACCCCUUAUUUCACCACUAAAUUCAUUCCCUUAGGUAAUUAAUGGAUUGAUUGAUGCCAUCAUAUCUUCUGGACGGUUGAGUAGGUUUCUCGCUUGUCCUGAACAUAAAUUUAAAGUUGGAGACACAAAUUCCUGUCCAUAAUCAUUCCUAAGUGAACAGCCUGAUUCUGUUCAAGGUUUGGGUGUAUUUAUCCAAGAUACAUGUUGUACUUGGUCAAGUAGUGAGGAACAAGCAUUAAAUAUGGUGUUGAAUCAUACUCUCGAAUGAACCUUCAGAUGCUUCAACAGAGACAGAUACACCAAAUCGUGAAACAGGACUCAACUUUUCCUUCGGGUCACACCAAAAUUCAAAAUACUAUUGUUUAAGUCACACAUGCAUGUAUAAAUAUCAACUCCCCUUCUUUUUCUUCUUUCUUCUUCACGCUGUUAUUGUGCUUUUUCUUGUUCUGUCAAUUUUGUUUUCUCUCUAUUGCUUGAUUUGAAGUGUAAACUACACUUUUCUUUUCUUUUUUUUACUAUGUAUACUUAUUGUAUCAGUGGUCUUUUCAAAUGUGAAAAAUGCUUAGUUUCUAUUCUGUAUGUA